rnacentral:sRNA from 1 species
GCCAGGCAUAGUGGUGCCCGCCUGUAAUCCCAGCAACGUGGGAGGCUGAGGCAGGAGGAUCACAAGUUGGAGGCCAAUCUCAGCAACAUCGUGAGACCCUGUCUCAA